ACUCCCGGCCCGGCCGCUGCCAAGUCGGAGGAGCCGCUGGAGUGUCUCCCUCUACCGGAGGCUCUCGGGCGGCGGGCGCGGGCCUGCUCCUGCGGCAGGGAGGCGGGCGGCCUGGAGAAGCGGCUCCGCUCGCGAGGAGCCUCGGAUGGGGAGUGCGGUGGACCCCCAGGAACUCUGGAGCACCCUCCCGCCCCCAAGCCAAGUCCUCCUUAGCGAACAACCGGGGCCGAGUUCCAAGAUAUCACCGGUGCUGAGGGGACCGAGAUGAGGAUCCUUGGAUCCCCCAAAAGAGAACACCAGCUCUGGGAUCGCCAGGCCCUGGCUCAGCUCUCCACCCUGUAAUGAAAUGGCCAGCUAUCUGGGACAUUACUGUAGCCUCCUCGCCAUCAGAACUGUCACUCCCGCUGCCAUCAUCCUCUCCUUCAGCACCAUCUCCAUUCUCAUCACUCGCAUCACCACCACCUCACACAGAACCAUCUGCAUCCUUCUGCUCACCCAGUGGACCCUCUUCUCCCUGUACCCAGGGAGGAACCCUAUCAGCAUUUGCUGCCUUUGAUGCUGCAUCCAAACUCUAAGCCCUCCUGAG
ensembl:lncRNA PKNOX2-DT PKNOX2 divergent transcript